UACGUAGGUCCCGAGCGUUGUCCGGAUUUAUUGGGCGUAAAGCGAGCGCAGGUGGUUUAAUAAGUCUGAUGUAAAAGGCAGUGGCUCAACCAUUGUGUGCAUUGGAAACUGUUAGACUUGAGUGCAGUAGAGGAGAGUGGAAUUCCAUGUGUAGCGGUGAAAUGCGUAGAUAUCGGGAGGAAGGCCGGUGGCGACGGCGGCCUCCUGGGCCUGCACUGACGCUGAGGCGCGAAAGCGUGGGGAGCAAACAGG
rnacentral:rRNA from 1 species